rnacentral:tRNA from 1 species
CGGGGUGUAGCGCAGUCCGGUUAGCGCAUCUGGUUUGGGACCAGAGGGUCGGGAGUUCGAAUCUCUCCACCCCGA